rnacentral:rRNA from 1 species
UACGAAGGGGGCUAGCGUUGCUCGGAAUCACUGGGCGUAAAGGGCGCGUAGGCGGAUCUUUAAGUCGGGGGUGAAAGCCCAGGGCUCAACCCCUGGAAUUGCCUUCGAUACUGAAGAUCUCGAGACCGGAAGAGGUUAGUGGAACUGCGAGUGUAGAGGUGAAAUUCGUAGAUAUUCGCAAGAACACCAGUGGCGAAGGCGGCUCACUGGCCCGAUACUGACGCUGAGGCACGAAAGCGUGGGGAGCAAACAGG